CCUACGGGAGGCAGCAGUAGGGAAUCUUCCACAAUGGGCGAAAGCCUGAUGGAGCAACGCCGCGUGGGUGAAGAAGGUCUUCGGAUCGUAAAACUCUGUUGUUAGAGAAGAAAGUGCGUGAGAGUAACUGUGCACUUUUCGACGGUAUCUAACCAGAAAGCGACGGCUAACUACGUGCCAGCAGCCGCGGUAAUACGUAGGUGGCAAGCGUUAUCCGGAUUUAUUGGGCGUAAAGGGAGCGCAGGCGGUCUUUUAAGUCUGAUGUGAAAGCCCCCGGCUUAACCGGAGUAGUGCAUUGGAAACUGGGAGACUUGAGUGCAGAAGAGGAGAGUGGAAUUCCAUGUGUAGCGGUGAAAUGCGUAGAUAUAUGGAAGAACACCAGUGGCGAAAGCGGCUCUCUGGUCUGUAACUGACGCUGAGGCUCGAAAGCGUGGGUAGCAAACAGGAUUAGAUACCCUAGUAGUC
rnacentral:rRNA from 1 species